AGAUUAAGCCAUGCAUGCGUAAGUGCAUACCAGAUAUGGUGAAAACCGCGAAUGGCUCAUUACAUCAGUCGUAGUUUAUGGGACAAUACGACAAGUGGAUAACUGUGGAAAAUCUAGAGCUAAUACAUGCAUUAUUGUCCUGACGAAAGAAAGGACGCAUUUAUCAGAUCAAAGCCAAUGGUUUCUUCGGAAAUCUAAACUGUGAUGACUCUGGGUAAAUUAUCAGAUUGAUCUGCUUUAAAGCAGGCGACGUUGAUUGCAAGUGUCUGACCUAUCAACUUUGUUGGCAGUCGACAUUACUGCCAUGGUUGUAACGGGUAACGGGGAAUCAGGGUUCGAUUCCGGAGAGAGAGCAUGAGAAAUGGCUGUCACAUCCAAGGAAGGCAGCAGGCGCGCAAAUUACCCAAUCCCUGAUCGGGGAGGUAGUGACGAGAAAUAUCAGUACCGGCAUUUUGUUUGGUAAUUGAAAUGAGAACAAUGAAAGAAUUUUAUCGAGUACCUAUUGGAGGGCAAGUUCUGGUGCCAGCAGCCGCGGUAAUUCCAGCUCGAAGAGCGUAUGUUAAAAUUGCUGCGGUUAAAACGCUCGUCGUUGGACAUCAGGAAGAACUUUGCGGACGAUCGAGUAUCGUUUCCGUAGAGGUAUUCCUUUACACACCCUUUCUCUGUCGUGCACUUUAAUGUGUGGGAUAGUAGAUGGUGAUUGUCACUUUGAGAAAAUUAGUGUGCUCAACGCAGGCUUUACGCUUGUAUAAUACUGCAUGGGAUGACGGAAUAGGGCCUCGGUUCCGUUUCGUUGGUUUACGAAAGCAGAGGUCAUGAUUAAUCGGGACAGACGGGGGCAUUCGUAUUGUGGUGAUAGAAGUGAAAUUCUGUGACCAUCGCAAGACGAACAACUGCGAAAGCAUUUGCCAAGAAUGUUUUCAUUAAUCAAGAACGAAAGUUAGAGGAUCGAAAACGAUUAGAUACCGUCCUAGUUCUAACUGUAAACUAUGCCAACUGGGGAUUCGCCAGUGUUUACAAAAUUGGCGAGCACCCUCCGGGAAACCAAAGUGAUUGGGUUCCGGGGGGAGUAUGGUUGCAAAAUCGAAACUUAAAGGAAUUGACGGAGGGGCACACCAGAAGUGGAGCCUGCGGCUUAAUUUGACUCAACGCGCGAAAGCUUACUCGGUCCGAACACCGUGAGGAUUGACAGGUUGAAAGCUCUUUCUUGAUCCGGUGGGUAGCGGUGCAUGGCCGUUCGUAGUUGGUGAAGUGAUUUGUCUGGUUUAUUCCGAUAACGAACGAGACUCUAGCCUACUAAUUAGCGUGGCGAUUUAUCGUCGCCCCAAUGCUUCUUAGAGGGACAGGCGCAACUUUAAAGGCGCACGAAGUAGAGCAAUAACAGGUCUGUGAUGCCCUUCGAUGUUCGAGGCUGCACGCGCGCUACAAUGGAGGGCGCAACGAGCACUUUGCAUCUCGAAAGAGAUUUGCAGAAUCGCAAAUAGCCUUCAUGACUGGGAUCGGAGAUUGAAAUUAUUCUUCGUGAACGAGGAGUUCCUAGUAAGCGCGAAUCAUUACUUCGCGUUGAUUAAGUCCCUGCCCUUUGUACACACCGCCCGUCGCUACUACCGAUUGAAUGAUUUGGUGAGGUCUGUGGAUAGACGCGAUAUAUGGUGAAAGCCAUAUUGAGGUGUUUAAAAGCUGACCGAGCUUGAGCGUUUAGAGGAAGUAAAAGUCGUAACAAGG
rnacentral:rRNA from 1 species